rnacentral:rRNA from 1 species
ACUCCUACGGGGAGGCAGCAGUGAGGAAUAUUGGUCAAUGGAGGGAACUCUGAACCAGCCAUCCCGCGUGUAGGAAGACGGCCUUAUGGGUUGUAAACUACUUUAUACAGGAAGAAACGUACCUCGUGAGGGUGCCUGACGGUACUGUAGGAAUAAGCACCGGCUAACUCCGUGCCAGCAGCCGCGGUAAUACGGAGGGUGCGAGCGUUAUCCGGGUAUUUUAGUUGGGUUUAAAGGGUCCGUAGGCGGAUUAAUAAGUCAGUGGUGAAAUCCCAUCGCUUAACGAUGGAACUGCCAUUGAUACUGUUAGUCUUGAAUGAGGGUGCAGUGGUUGGAAUGUGUAGUGUAGCGGUAGAAAUGCAUAGAUAUUACACAGAACA